UCAUCUCCUUUCACCUCCCGCAUUUAGCACCUGUGAGCAAUCUCUGCAGGACUUUUCCCCAGCUGCUGGGGCACUCCAAAGAUGCAUAAGUACCAGAAGAAAUGAGGUAAGUGCCUUUAUAUUCCAGCUAAUCCUUGAGGCUUAGCUCAUUCUCUCUUCAUCUUACUGUAAAACGCAUUAUAAGACUAUGAACAGGGCAAAAUUCAUUCACCUACAGAAAAACUCUAGUGAGACCAUUUAUAGUGAAACCAGAAAUGGCCCUGCUGGUCUUUCCCUCUGGCUGCAUGGACUAACAGGGUUGCACGUUUGCUUGUGUUCUGGUAGAGCUCUAAUGGAGACCUGGGGGCAUCAGAUCAGAUGUCCCCAUCUGAGUAGGCCCUAUGAAUACAGUGCAUAGUCUUCAUCAAAUAACCUAUGUCUUGUUUAAGUUCCUUGGACUGGGUGUAAUUUUUCCCCAGCUUUUGAACAUCUUAGUAAAAUAUUGUGGAAGUGUUUGUUGCUCGGGUCGGUGCUUUAUAAACAGACUAUUCAAGAAGGACUGCAGCUCUGUCUUGUAGAAGAUUAGCACACAAACAAGGAGAAUGGAAUCUCAGAGCAUCUGGAUGUGAGACUAGAGGGAGUUAGGAGCAGACUCAAAUGGAAGCAUAACCGUCUUGUGCAAGGAUAGGUUUCUAGAAAGCAAGAUAUUUAGCUGGAUGCAAACAGAAAAUCUUCACAGGAAGACACCCAUUUCUAUUAGCUGGAUGUACAAUGAUCUACUUCAUCACACAGUCAAAAAGCUUAGGUGACUGCUCAAAAUGUCAGCCCAUGGGGCUGAGGCUGCCAGUCUUAUCAGCACUUUAGGACAGAGUUUGGACAGAGACUAAACUUGGACAGAGCUAAACUUCAACCUUGCUGAGGUGGCAGGAGCUGACGUGUUGGGAACUUUGAAAAAGUAAAUCAAAUGCUGCAGCUCAGGUGUGUUUCUUAAGGUUAGCAAUGGGACAAA